rnacentral:tRNA from 11 species
UGGCUGUGCAGAGGUUUGAACUCCGCACAUCUGGCAUGCGAGACCAGCGUGGUACCACUUCUCCACCAGCG